UAUUGAUAAUUACAAACUAAUUCUCCAUUGCUUUUGAGUGCAAUAGGAAACAUCUGACGCUUUCUUGCUAUAGAGAGAGUAUCAUCUGAGAGGAGCUGUCUAGCUAUCUUGCUUACGAAGUUUAUGAAGGAAACACACACCACAUUGACUUGCAUUUAGUUGUUGACAUUAUAUUUGAGUAUCAGCAAAGGAGAGUUUAGAAGAAAGUAGGAUUUAUUUUUGGAGAAGCUGGAGAUUGAGAAGGAUCACAGUGAUAAUUUGGAGUGAUUGUUUUGUUUUACUGGUGCUUCUAUGGAAAAGGAAGAGGCUUGAGGUAGAGAUUCUCUGCAGAUAGCAAUGGUGGAAUCUGCAUAGAAGAAAGGAGUUGAAAGGAAAGGAGAAGCAUCAUCCUCACUUCAAGUGAGUCAAUUUUUCCUAUGCUUGAUGUCUUGUUCAAAUCACCAAGUGAUGUAUCUCCGAUAUUGGAUAUGUAAUGAUGUGUUAGAUUUUUGGAGAUGAAUGUCUUUCUUGUUGGAAAUGUUGUCAUUGAUGUCAAAGGUGCAAAGACAAAGUCACCAUUGAUGUCAAAGUGAGUAGACGAGAUUGAGAUGAUUGCAAUUAACGUCAAAGGCGUAUGGAAGAUUGAAGAAGGAAUGUCACAUGGUUUUUA